rnacentral:rRNA from 1 species
UACGGAGGGAGCUAGCGUUAUUCGGAAUUACUGGGCGUAAAGCGCACGUAGGCGGCUUUGUAAGUUAGAGGUGAAAGCCUGGAGCUCAACUCCAGAAUUGCCUUUAAGACUGCAUCGCUUGAAUCCAGGAGAGGUGAGUGGAAUUCCGAGUGUAGAGGUGAAAUUCGUAGAAUAUUCGGAAGGAACACCAGUGGCGGAGGCGGCUCACUGGACUGGUAUUGACGCUGAGGUGGCGAAAAGCGUGGGGAGCAAACAGG